GCUCAGUCUGCUCCUGGCUUCCUUCGGAUGAAGAUGUAGAACUCUCAGCUCCCCCUGCACCAUGCCUGCCUGGAUGCUGCCCUGCUCCCGCCUUGAUGAUACCAGACUAUACCUUUGAACCUCUAAGCCUGUUUGUUUCCUUUGUUGUUGUUGUUGCUGCUGCUGCUGCUGCUGCUGCUGCUGCUGCUGCUGCUGCUGCUGCUGCUGCUGCUGCUGCUGUUAUUUUUGUUGUUUCCAACACAGGGUUUUACUGUGUAACCCUGGCUGCCCUGGAACUCACUUUGUAGACCAGGCUGACCUCCGGAGUGCUGGGAUUAAAGCAGGUUUUCUUUAGACUAUAACAGCAUUUGAUUGACAUGGAGGCAGAUGGAAAUCUGUUGGGGACUUUCAGCAGAGCCCAUGAACCCAUCUCUGCGCAACUGGCAGGAUUUCCCACGAGGUUGUAAAUCAAGGGACCUGUGGAGAUGUAGCGUCUCCACAAAGGUAUCCUGAGUCCUCCGUGCACUCCCCUCAAAGGCAGCACAAGUCUAAACCCAUCUUUGCCGUGCUGAAGUUGUACCAAAGAAGUCUGGUGUCCUCGUACAAGCCUCCAGAUGACAGAACCCUUGAAUAAAGAAAGAAGCCACCUCUCUGCGAUUAGCAGGAAGAAACUGAUGAUAUCAGCAAGACACUGCCUGCUGCCCACAUUCUGAACCGUAUCUUUGUAAAUGAAAUGCCCAUCCAUUGUUUGCUGCUUGUUUGCUUCUUUGACUGUCCAUCAGGGCCUUGAAUACAUCCAGCUUUUCGACCUCCCGUUCGGCUCACACGGGACCAUCGAAGCACUAAGUCUCUGGGUGAACACACACACAAGUGCGCGCCCUCUGUCCCACAGCCACACUCUGAGGGGAGUGUGAGUGGACCUUGCCUUUUGCAGGACUGUGGACUCCGAAGUGGGGCUUCCCCUUUUCAUACCAGCAAAAUAGGAAGCAGCUAAAUUUUCUCCCAAGAUGAUCUUUAAAGAGCAGAGGGAACAUCCAACAUCUCCCAGGAGGUGUUUAUCCUCCGUGCCGUGCUUCAGCUUGGGGCAUAGUCUGUCUGUCUCCUCACCCUUAAGGACAACACACAUAGACUUUUAAAGGUGAAGUCUUGAUUUAUUGUGACUUGAAUUGCACACUUGACAAUUCUAGCAGGUUCCUGGGACUUGAGGCAUGUUUGUCAUGUUUUGAUGGCCCGGGCCAUUUCCAUCUUGGCUGAAGAGCUGAGAGUGGAAUUUUAACUAUGAAUUUCCUUGUGUUUAAUAAGCUAAGGUCAAAAGGUCAUAGUCUGUUUGCCGAUAUGCAUGAACAGCUUCCAACUGGACUUACUCAUGUGCAUCUGAGUUCAGCUAAAACACCCCGACUCUUAGGCGCUAUUAAAUAAUGUGCCUGAAAACAAAACAAGGCAAACCAACCUUUCUGAGGUGCGUAUAGAACAUAGAAGAAUGAAAAGGCAUGAAUAAAAUAACCAAAACUGUUUACUCUUUUGGGUAAAGUGUUUGGUUUUCCAGGAA